rnacentral:rRNA from 1 species
UACGAAGGGAGCUAGCGUUGUUCGGAAUCACUGGGCGUAAAGCGCACGUAGGCGGAUGUGUCAGUCAGGGGUGAAAUCCCCGGGCUCAACCCGGGAACUGCGUCCGAUACUGGCAGGCUUGAAUCCGGGAGAGGGAUGCGGAAUUCCAGGUGUAGCGGUGAAAUGCGUAGAUAUCUGGAGGAACACCGGUGGCGAAGGCGGCAUCCUGGACCGGCAUUGACGCUGAGGCGCGAAAGCUAGGGGAGCAAACGGG